GCUGGCGGCAUGCCUAACACAUGCAAGUCGAACGGCAGCAGGCUAAAGAAGCCCUCGGGCGGAUUUGGUGCUGGCGAGUGGCGGACGGGUGAGUAAUACGCAGGGAUCUACCCUCAGGACUGGGAUAACCUACGGAAACGUGGGCUAAUAGUGGAUAUUCUCCGAGGAGGAAAGCCUCGUUAUUUAUAGCGGGACGCCUGAGGAAGAACCUGCGGACGAUUAGCUAGUUGGUGAGGUAAGAGCUCACCAAGGCGACGAUCGAUAGCUGUUCUGAGAGGAAGAGCAGCCACACUGGGACUGAGACACGGCCCAGACUCCUACGGGAGGCAGCAGUGGGGAAUAUUGGACAAUGGGGGCAACCCUGAUCCAGCGAUGCCGCGUGUGUGAAGAAGGCCUGCGGGUUGUAAAGCACUUUCAGUAGAGAAGAAAAGCUUACGGUUAAUACCCGUGAGUCUUGACGUAACCUACAGAAGAAGCACCGGCUAACUCCGUG
rnacentral:rRNA from 1 species